ensembl:lncRNA
UGAACCUCUAGGUGAAGGUGUGGGGAGUGGAUUCCGUCCCGCUGGAACAGUGGAACUGAAUGUGUGUAAGUCCAUGGGGCCAGAUGAUAUCCAUCCCAGGGUUCUGAGAGAGAUAGCUGAUGUGGUUGCUGAGCCACUCUCCUAGUGUUCAACCUCAUUCAAAAAAACUUCUUGGUCCUACUAGCAAUAAUCCUUCUGUUUCCUGUUUCUUUGCCCUUGAUGUCCAUGCUCACCAAGACUGUGUCCCGCCCAGGUGGUCAUUACACCUCUAGUUUAAUAAUAUAAAACAAAAAUGAGAUUCGAUAAAAGAAAAUACAUGCUCAUAUUGAAAACGGGUUUAUGAAAUAGUACAGCAAAGAUUAUGGAUUUGUACAAGGGUACAGUAAAUGUAGAACAGUGCAAAAGCCACAUAUGAUAUCCAAACAAUUGCAGGCAAUGUAUAAUGACAUAGCCACAGUAUCGUCAGAUGUAAGACCUUGAAAGGGAUGGAGCUCUCUCAGCUACAGUAGUCCACGUACUUUGCGGAGCAAAGCAGAGCACACCAGGAUAGCUUACUUUCUCCAGUGCAGUAAAAUGGCUCUGUCUUUUUCUGACUUAAGAAAGAGGAAAUCUCCAUAGAGAUACAAAUUUUAACAUAUAUAAAAAAUACUGUAUCCGUCCCUUCAUAAAUUUCAAAAGGACGCAUUCCAUAGGGGUGAGACUACACACUGCAAAUUAGUCUUCUUGUCUAACAGGACAGAAAAGGGUACAGGUUACUGGUCAAUACUGAGAGGGAUAAUCCUUUGAAAAACGUGGACAACGUUUUGGUCUAGUUGAUGCUUUUCACUGCCUCUAACUCCACAAACUUGAUAUCAUUGCAGACAGGUAUCAGAGCUUGUGUGCCAAAAGCCCAAAUUUAAAUUGAUGAGUUUAAUUUGCAGUCAAGGUUAGAGGGACAAUAAGCCAUAGAAGCUUUUUUACUUCUUCAUGUUAUGUAUUUGCAGGUUCCUGGCUUGGUUCUGAGGCUAGAACAAUUCUCUUGGUCUCAGAAUUCAUUUAGUCUUUCAGCAUAUGCUGGUGAGAAGACAACAUUAUGCUGCGUCCUCUCUGUUUUGUUCUUUUACUGGUCUUUACUAGAGUCCUAGAGCCUCCAUUUGUGUCUGCCCUUUACUAUUUGCUAUUCUCCAAAUCCAUACACCUCCAAGCAAGGAAUGAAGUUUCAAGUUACAUACUUGUUGCCCGGUGUCUUAUGAAUUCCACUUUCCUAAGCAUAUCAAUAAUUAUUGGAGAGACCAUGAGACCAUAACUUUUCUCACGUGCAAUUGUUUCAACAUUUUCUUCUCGGUGAUAGUAAAAUGAAGAGGUAGUAGCAAACGUGAAAGUAUGAUAAAUGCUCUUACUGCACAUUGAAACCAACUGCAACUGUGGGGAGAUUGAAAAGAAGAGCAACAUUUUGUGGGAACAGUGAAAAGCUAAUGUUCCCCAAAAUGCAGAAGAAAUACUUCUGCAUCAACUGCACCUUUUGUUCCAGAGUUUUACUAUAUGAGGAUGGGCAUACUACAUUUGAAAAUGUGAGAACAGAGAAGCUUUUUGAAACACUGCGAUGGCUGAUCACAGUACUGUACUGUGAAUAAAAAACAUGUAUUGAAUCAGUGGGUGUCUUGCUUCUGUUUAAAACUACUUAGCUAUCUUAAAGCAUGCUUAGGACAGAACUGGCUGAAGAUUAAAGAUGCUGGAUGAUGACAAGCCAACACAGAAAGUACUUGUAAGCAUUCAAACACUAGUGAUUCAUGGCAACACUACCCAAUUGCAGCUGCUGGUCAGCCACAGAAUCAACGAGGACUAAGAAAAAAUAUCACAUUAUUGUCUGCCAGCAUAAAGACACAGCAAUAUUAAAGGAAGCCCUCUUUAGCCCUGGCUAAGAUCACAUUAUUCUAAUGCAGCACUCCUUGAUAUUUAUGAGAAUUGGAAGGGUUAUCAGCUGCUGGACAUAAUACUGCCCAGAAUGGUGGCUGUUGUUUUUCCUGCACUUUUCUGUCUAUGGAAAUCACAGGGCCUUUGCCCAGUGCUGAUACGUAUGAGUCCAUAUACACUAAGGUGAGGUGGUAAACAGGAUGCUGUCCUUUCCUGUUCUGCUUCUAGUAAGGGAUGUCUCCCUACAGGGAGCAUCAGAUAGUACCAGCAAAUGGUUUCACCAGACUCUGCUAUAGCUGCGAAGAUCCUGUUCCUCAAAUUCCAGUAGAGAACACGGUAAGAAGCAAGGUCCGUGUGUGCUUUAUUAAGGAGCUUGUCAGCAGGUGAGAACAUUAGACCUCAGAAGACUUGAAACAGACAGGAAACGAAAGGUCACUCCCAAGUCAGCACAAAGGCAAGCCUUCUAGGUCCUUUAAGUUCUCAUAUGGAGUACAGCAUAGUACAGCAGGUAGAUUUAUUCCCAUCUCCUAAAAACAGCAGUGGGCCUGACUUGAUUCCAGAACCAGUUUUAGUCAGCGUUGAUGUGCCAGUGCUUACUCACAGCAGCUGUGUGCUCAGUGUUAUAUGUCACAGACUAUUUUCUGGAUAAUUUUUUGAAGGUGAGGGCCAUUCUGUCAGCAUGAGUGAACAGUUCUGGUUGAUAUUUUCCUUCUGGAUACAUUAUACUGUUGUUAUUCCAGACAUAACAAUUUGGUAGCGAGGACAGAAAUACUAGCUUUUAAAAUAAGAAGUACCUUCUUUGUUGUGACUUUGCUGUAUGUCUUUAUUAAGAUUUGCAUAACAGUAUUGCAGAAAAUCCCUUUCUUGUAAAGAGUUAAUACCUUCGCUUUCUGAGAGCUCCUAGUUCCCCAUCUCUAAUAUACCACAGGGACAGAGUGAGAAGAUGACAACUGAUAUUUUGUAAAGCUAAAAAUACCAUGCCUUUUUACAUAACACUGGGAAUUUAAAAAGCACAUUUACUGCUUGGAGAUUAUUUUUAAAAAUGCAGUUUGAGCAACACCACUGGUACAGAUUCAAUUGACAUUUAUGGGAAGUAGCUGCUGUAUGCUUCUCCGUUAGGGAAUGAGACAUUCAGUAGAGAAUGAAGUAAAUGCUUUUUAAAAAGUUAAAUAAGACUCAUACUGCAUCAAAGGUAUUUGCGCCCUGUUAUACGCCUCAAGUUUAUGUCACUGGCAGUGACCCUUUUCUUAGUGUAUGUAACCUUUCUGACCCUCCAAAACUAUUUCUCCAGACCUCCCUUCUUGGUAGUAGCUACCUGAUGGUGAGCAACCUGUGCACUCUAACCACAACAGAUUCACCAAAUGGUGAGUUGCCAUCCUGGAAUUUCUUUCUUUCUUUCUCUUUUUUUCCUUUUCUUUUCCUCAUUGUCCUUCCUGGGAUGCUCAAUCAGCGUUCAGUUUCCAGUAGAUUAUUCUAGGAUAUCCAAAGUUUGUGUCUCUGCUUUGGCAGCACGGACCAUUUUGAGAACUUGUCAUGCAGGAGAAGGGGAAAAAUAAUCUUUUGGUGCCAAGUUUACUUCUCUUCAGCAACGUAGCAGAAAAUACUAUUGAGCACUAAGAGGAAUUUUUGAUAAAUACUCUAUUGAGAGGGUGAUUAAUUUUACUGAACUUAUAGUUUUUUAAUGGCUUUUAGGUAUGGGCAGAACAAGAUCACAUUUGCUUGGAGGCGCACGUAGGUAAGCAUGAGCUUACUUUGCAGUACGUAAUGCAAAUAUAUCCUAUGUCAAUACCUCCACCUAUUGUCCCUUCUAACUUCAGUUCAUGCACACAGCCUCAAAUAUUUUCCCAGCUUGAAAGGACCCAGCCUCCCAUUUAUGUAUGUCAGAUAUGCUGCACCCUUUCAGAAGCUGAACCAGGCUGGUACUUCUUUUUUCAUUCUUUGAACCUCAUAGAAAGCUUUUGUCUCCUGCACUGAAGGAAGGAUCUCCAAGCAAGAAAGAAUGGUAUGAGUCAUUUUGUUAUCUCAUUUCCUUUUCAGUCCACUUGAAAAUCCUAUCAGUAGCAAAUACAGCUCGAUGUAGAAUUAACUCUUGUGGUAUCUACUCCAUUACUUCUGUGAAGCAAUUACAGAGAUCUCUGCCAGAAGAAGCAUUUACUGGAGAAUCCAUACUGCCAGUGGCAGAAGGCCAGCAGAGAAGCGUAUUGGAGCAACAGUCCCUGGAGGGUGAUUCCUGCCUCUAUAGAUCUGAUACAGACAUUAUUUUUGUAAACAUCUCCCACUUACAAAGUUAGUAGGCCUCUGCUUAUUUUCCACAGCUGAAGACACAUCUUGCAAGAAGUUUGAAGUUUGUCCUUAUCUUUCUGUGAUAUAAAUUGAUAUCUAUGGGAUUAUAAGUAAGGAUUAAAAAAAAAAAAGAUCAAAGAAGGAAAGCAAAAUUUUCAGUCUUUUCAUAGGUGGAUAGACAUGGUUACCGAUGAGAUCUUUGGGGAUGGGAAUUAAUGUUAGGGUGAAUGACAGAGAGAAGGAUGAUAUUUUAAACUGUUUUGGAGUUAGCAAUGUUUAGUUAAAAGUGGAACAUUCGGUGGCAAGAUUCAUAUUGGUAAUUUUUUGCAUUUGAACAGCUUUAAAGGGGAGUUAAGGCAGUAGACAUGGGGCACAUUAUUUAUUGUAAUAUAAUCACCAUCCCUGAUAAUUAAUUACUGUGAAAUUAAUACGUUUAUUAAGCAAGUGUGACAGUGACAAUAGUUUUGUAUUUCACAAGCAGUAUUUCUCGGGCAGAAUUUGCUCCAGUAUUUCUAACUUACAAGAUUUUUAUAUUAUAUAUAUAGAGAGAGAGCUACAGGGAACAUAGGGAAAAUUAGGUAUAAUAGUAAAAUUAAUCAGUAGCUUAAAGAAAAGGUAAUCAAUGCUUAACAGGCAUGUCUUAAAAAGCAAAUAAAAAUUAAUUAACAAUUUACAGCAUAAGUCUGUCUUCAGGGUUAUGAUGGAAGUGCUACAAUAUGGAUUUGGAAGAAGCUGUUAAAAAUCAGCUCUUUUUCUGAAACUGCUUUGCUCUGUGCUAUUACCAAUCCCUCUGCUGGGCAGAGCUUUGCUCAAGCACAUCUUUCUUCCCACCCUCUCCUGCUCAGACCUCUGCCUGAGUGCAGGGAUGGGGGGAAGAAGCUGAUGGAUGGCCCCUGUCACUCCCCAACUGUACAGGUCAACCUGGCAUUCAACCCUGGAACAAGUGCUCACUUGGAGCACACACUUCUUUUUUUUUUUUUAACUAUAGUUCUGUCAAUUUCAAUUCCUCACCACCAGGACUCCCCUAGCGGUCUUCCUUUGCAGAGCUGCUUUCCAGAUAGGUGGCAUGUCUUGGAGCUUGAGGCUGUUUCUUCCCAGGUGCAGGACUGUACAUUUCUUCUUACUGAAUUUCAUGAGGUUCCUCCCAGCCUGUUUCUCCAGCCUCUUGAAGUCCCUCUGGAUGGCAGCACGACCAUCUGUUCUAUCAGCCACUUCUUCCAGUUUUGUGGCAUCUGCAAACUUGCUGAGAGUAUACUCUGCUCCAUAAUCCAGAUCAUUAAUGAAAAUACUCAACAGGACUGGACCCUGCAUUGACCCCUGCAGUCCUCUGCUCAUUACUGGCCUCCACCUAGAAUUUACACCACUGACCAUUGCACCUAUGUGAACACUUAUGUUUACCAAGAUCUUUCAGAUCAGCAUUUAAAUCACCACUACACAAAACAUUUUGUACAUGCUUUCCACAUGAAAUUGUAGCCCAAUUAUCUAAGAAAGUACCUGCAAUACUCAAAAAGAUGUUCAGAACCUGUCAGAAAGUGCAUUUCAAAGGAAAAAAAAAACAAAAAACAACUGUUUUUUUUUUGUUGUUGUUGUUCAUUUACUUCCUGGCCCUCGCAGCAGCACCUCAGGAAAAGCAAAGACAGAAACUGUAGGGGGAAGGUUCGGCUUUACUCCGUUUUAGUUCAGAGAUUCAGUCCUUUUGUUUUCCUCCUACAUGAGAAUAUUCAUGAAAUAUGCCUUGUGCAGGAAAGACAUCACGGGACAUUAACAGAUAUGGCUUGAAUUUAGAACUUCACCUUGCUUCGAUAGAAAAGAAUGAAUCUUCCUGGUGGCCAUUUUGACACAAUCUUUAUUUGAAUCAAAAGUCAGAGGAGUGGAAAUGUCUUUUACACACAGUAUAUGAGCAUGUUAGAAGUCAGUAUUUAACAAAUUAAGCUAUAUCUAAUACCUGAGAUGCUGCUGUAUGUUUUCAGAAUGUAAAAUAGCUGCUCUUUUCUCAUGCUAAUGUAUGUAAAGAAUUGCACUUUAAGUGAAUUUAGGAAGAAAAGUUGGGUUUUGGCUUAUUAAAAGCAAGAAAUUGUUCUCUGAUGAUAAGCUCACAUGGAACCUACUGUAUGGAAGAGUCAAGCUGUGUCAGAACUACUAACAGCCUAGAAAGUUUUCCCAGCUUCACAUGAGAAUGAACUUUACUAUUUAAAGUAGAUUUAUAUAUAUGAGGUCAGUAACGAAUACAUGUAAGAGUGGGAACCAAAGAUAAAGACACUAUCCUUUGAUUAAACUGACUACAUCAAAAAUGUCAGAUAAAGCAUGGCUGUGGGUGCUUGGGUUCUGACAGGUAGAAGUACUUCCACAGCUAAGUUAUAUUGAUUCAAAAUAAAAAAAAAGGAGCCUGUGGCACUGGGACAUGUCAGAGCCAUGAGGCAGGUCAGUAGUUCUGUGCAGUGAAUGAACAGACACUUUGGUAUCAGUUAGUGGGAGCAGCAGAUAUCCAUCAUCCCUGGAAGCGAGAAGUCCUUCUCUUUGCCAGUUCUCUCUCUCUCUGCUUCCCUGAUACUUACCUUACAGCAUCAUUAUCACUUGCCAGAUCCCUGUGUAAACUACCACGUCACUAGAGCAGCAGAAAACAAAUCCAUCAAGAACUGGAAAGCUGAUUUUCAGGCACAGUAAGUGCUAGGAGUUGCUUGCCUACCUGUAGAAUCAUACCCUGAGGCAGAAGUCAGAACAGACUGAUGCAGAUUUUAUUGUAGCUUAAUGAUAGGAAAGCCAAAUCCAGAGUUGUAAGGACCCAGGUAUGAUGAUGAGCUUGAGACCCAGUGAUAGACAACGCAAAGCGUCAAGCCUGGGAAAUAAGAUAAGGACAGUCAAUGUGACUUACCUGAAACCACCACUGAAAAGGAACAAGUGCAAAGAUAUCCCUGACAUCAGAAAGAAGGUUUACAGAGUAACAAUUUUAGACUGUGGGUGGAGAGAAGGGGAUUAAAAUUGAAACACGAAACAGGAGAAAGACUUAAGAAAUCGCCCACAGCUGUAUUAGGAAUACAUCCUCUCUAUGCAAGGAUAAGAUGCAAAAGCUGUUUGGCGGGUUUUUGGUAAGCCUCCUCAGGGCAGCUGUCCUGAUCAAUCCACGUACAACAGCUGUGUGGGCAGUCACCAGCUUACAAAACAUUUGUCUAAGACAGGCCUUGUGUCUUAAAAUACCAUUCUUCCUAUUUUAAUUUGCUUCCCUCGUCCUUGCAUUUAGACCUGGAAGUCAACGUGGAUGUGCUCUUCAGAGAGACUAAAACACCUCUGGGUAACAAAAGUUCCACAAGAUCUACAGUUUCCCUGCAUUUUUAAAACUUAGGUUUCAAGAGUUCAGGCACACCAGGAAAAUAUUGAGCCAUUCAAAAAACCCACAAAAAAUGGCAUGAAACCUGACAGAUUUGGAAAUACAUGGAGGAGGGAGGAGGAAAAAAAAAAGCUGUGGAGAAGUUUCAUCCUCUGCGAAGAAAGAAUGUGCUGCGAAGAACAUUAUAGCUCUCAUGGUGGCCUCGGGAAACCAGACAGGAGACUGGGAUCUCUUAUACUUCAGGAGCAUUGUGUUCACCAUGCUGGCUAGAUCUUCAAUACCAUGGAGAAGGAGAAAAGAUAUACCAGCUGCUAGUAUUCAGACAUUGCCACCUUUUCUUUUCUGCACGUGUCUUUCCCAUGUAACUUCUACUUUGGAAGCAGCCUAUGUAGGCAGAGUCCCUCCCUACCUACAGAGGCUCAAGCAAGACAUACACUCUCUAUGUGAAGCCUUCUUCUGUUUCUUUCUUUCUUUCUUUUUUCCCUUAGGCUCAGUGUAAGCCAUAUGUGGGAGAAUGAACUUACCUAUUCCCCAUUUCUGCUGUUAAUAAAGACUGCUUGGCUGCCUCGAGCAUAAACAAAAAUGACCGAUCCAGGCCCAAGGCUGAGAACGAAGUAACUCAUUUGGGAUCAGCUAAAUUUAAUUUGCUAGUGAUCGAGGCUGGUGGAAAGAAAGAUCAGAUAGGAGUCGCGGAUGAAGGAAGCACAAAGCAACAGGGAGAAACCACGAGCACCUCCCAACAUGAUGGAGGCAAGGGAAAGGCCCCAGGCGAUCCUCCACGGGGCUGAGCUCGCUCCUUUCACCUCUCCGCAGAGGGAUGGGCAGAGGGCAGCGCCGCAGUCUGCACCCGCACACGGGAGCGCUCCGGGCGGCCGCAUCUCCGGCAGGAGCAGAUCAGGCCGGGGACCCCCCGUCGUCGCCCUCGGCGGCUCUCCGGCAGCGAGAGCUGCGAGAAGCCAGGCCCCUCCCGGGGGACCCGUCCGCCGCCGCCGCUAGGGGGGCUGCCUUUAAUUGAAUCAAGUUUGCAAGUGUAGUUACCGGGAAACCAGCGCGAAUCGCCGCCCUCCAGCCCGCCCGUGCUGCCGCC